AGUUGGAAGGAAGAGGGAAAAUACUCAUCUUUUCAGAAUGGAAAUAGGACAAAUGAAGGAGAGUAAAAGUUCAUCCUUUAUUGCUUUUUUUCCCUUUUCUCCUAAUAGUCUCUAGGUGUUAAUAUAAAUGUUAAAAAUAUUUGUACAGGGUGUGCAUGUGUGGUCUAAAGAGUUAAUUGUUAUUAACACAGCAUUGUAUAUUCCUGUAACUUAUUUCUGGUGUUGGGGAUGAUUUGAUUAAUUAGUUCUUUGAAAAACAGAUGCUGGUGCCGCAUUCUCGGCUUUCCAGGCAAAUUGCUAUUCUCUAUAUUUGACCCGUAGCAUGUAGAAUUGUAUUCUACCCUAUGAAAAAUUUAUAAUCAACUUCUUACCUUUUAGGCACAUAGAGAUGAAAUCCAGCGCAAAUUUGAUGCUCUUCGUAACAGCUGUACUGUAAUCACAGACCUGGAGGAGCAGCUAAACCAGCUGACCGAGGACAACGCUGAACUCAACAACCAAAACUUCUACUUGUCCAAACAACUCGAUGAGGCUUCUGGCGCCAACGAUGAGAUUGUACAACUGCGAAGUGAAGUGGACCAUCUCCGCCGGGA
rnacentral:sRNA from 1 species